AGUGAACGCUGGCGGUAGGCCUAACACAUGCAAGUCGAACGGCAGCACAGUAAGAGCUUGCUCUUACGGGUGGCGAGUGGCGGACGGGUGAGGAAUACAUCGGAAUCUACUUUUUCGUGGGGGAUAACGUAGGGAAACUUACGCUAAUACCGCAUACGACCUACGGGUGAAAGCAGGGGAUCUUCGGACCUUGCGCGAUUGAAUGAGCCGAUGUCGGAUUAGCUAGUUGGCGGGGUAAAGGCCCACCAAGGCGACGAUCCGUAGCUGGUCUGAGAGGAUGAUCAGCCACCCUGGAACGGAGACACGGUCCAGACUCCUACGGGAGGCAGCAGUGGGGAAUAGUGGACAAUGGGCGCAAGCCUGAUCCAGCCAUACCGCGUGGGUGAAGAAGGCCUUCGGGUUGUAAAGCCCUUUUGUUGGGAAAGAAAAGCAGCAGGUUAAUACCCCGCGGUUCUGACGGUACCCAAAGAAUAAGCACCGGCUAACUUCGUG
rnacentral:rRNA from 1 species